rnacentral:misc_RNA from 1 species
GGAAGUAAAGUCGUAACAAGGUUUCCGUAGGUGAACCUGCGGAAGGAUCAUUACUGAGUGAGGGCCCCUCGGGGUCCAACCUCCCACCCGUGUUUAACGAACCUUGUUGCUUCGGCGGGCCCGCCUCACGGCCGCCGGGGGGCAUCCGCCCCCGGGCCCGCGCCCGCCGAAGCCACCUGUGAACGCUGUCUGAAGUAUGCAGUCUGAGACAAUUAUUAAAUUAAUUAAAACUUUCAACAACGGAUCUCUUGGUUCCG